AUUGAACGCUGGCGGCAGGCCUAACACAUGCAAGUCGAACGGUAACAGGAAGAAGCUUGCUUCUUUGCUGACGAGUGGCGGACGGGUGAGUAAUGUCUGGGAAACUGCCUGAUGGAGGGGGAUAACUACUGGAAACGGUAGCUAAUACCGCAUAACGUCGCAAGACCAAAGAGGGGGACCUUCGGGCCUCUUGCCAUCGGAUGUGCCCAGAUGGGAUUAGCUAGUAGGUGGGGUAACGGCUCACCUAGGCGACGAUCCCUAGCUGGUCUGAGAGGAUGACCAGCCACACUGGAACUGAGACACGGUCCAGACUCCUACGGGAGGCAGCAGUGGGGAAUAUUGCACAAUGGGCGCAAGCCUGAUGCAGCCAUGCCGCGUGUAUGAAGAAGGCCUUCGGGUUGUAAAGUACUUUCAGCGGGGAGGAAGGGAGUAAAGUUAAUACCUUUGCUCAUUGACGUACCCGCAGAAG
rnacentral:rRNA from 1 species